GACGAACGCUGGAGGCGUGCCUAACACAUGCAAGUCGAACGGGAUCUUCGGAUCUAGUGGCGGACGGGUGAGUAAUACAUAGGUAAUCUGUCUUGAAGAGGGGGAUAACAAUUCGAAAGGAGUGCUAAUACCGCGUAAUGUUGUCUGAUUAAGUUUGGACAAAGAAAGGAGCAAUCCACUUUAAGAUGAGCCUAUGGUCGAUUAGCUAGUUGGUGUGGUAACGGCAUACCAAGGCGACGAUCGAUAGCUG
rnacentral:rRNA from 1 species